rnacentral:rRNA from 1 species
UACAGGGACUGCAAGCGUUAUUCGGAUUCACUGGGCGUAAAGGGUGCGCAGGCGGCCGGGUGUGUCAGAUGUGAAAUCCCGAGGCUCAACCUCGGAACUGCGUCUGAAACUACUCGGCUAGAGUACUGGAGAGGGUAACGGAAUUCACGGUGUAGCAGUGAAAUGCGUAGAUAUCGUGAGGAACACCAGAGGCGAAGGCGGUUACCUGGACAGUUACUGACGCUCAGGCACGAAAGCAUGGGGAGCAAAAGGG